rnacentral:rRNA from 1 species
GGAAGCUAAUACCGGAUACGACGUACGGAGGCAUCUCCUGUACGUGGAAAGAACUUCGGUCAAGGAUGGACUCGCGGCCUAUCAGGUAGUUGGUGAGGUAACGGCUCACCAAGCCUACGACGGGUAGCCGGCCUGAGAGGGUGACCGGCCACACUGGGACUGAGACACGGCCCAGACUCCUACGGGAGGCAGCAGUGGGGAAUAUUGCACAAUGGGCGCAAGCCUGAUGCAGCAACGCCGCGUGAGGGAUGACGGCCUUCGGGUUGUAAACCUCUUUUAGUAGGGAAGAAGCGAAAGUGACGGUACCUGCAGAAAAAGCACCGGCUAACUACGUGCCAGCAGCCGCGGUAAUACGUAGGGUGCGAGCGUUGUCCGGAAUUAUUGGGCGUAAAGAGCUCGUAGGCGGUCUGUCGCGUCUGCUGUGAAAACCCGAGGCUCAACCUCGGGCCUGCAGUGGGUACGGGCAGACUAGAGUGCGGUAGGGGAGAAUGGAAUUCCUGGUGUAGCGGUGGAAUGCGCAGAUAUCAGGAGGAACACCGAUGGCGAAGGCAGUUCUCUGGGCCGUAACUGACGCUGAGGAGCGAAAGCGUGGGGAGCGAACAGGAUUAGAUACCCUGGUAGUCCACGCCGUAAACGUUGGGCGCUAGAUGUGGGGACCAUUCCACGGUUUCCGUGUCGCAGCUAACGCAUUAAGCGCCCCGCCUGGGGAGUACGGCCGCAAGGCUAAAACUCAAAGGAAUUGACGGGGGCCCCGCACAAGCGGCGGAGCAUGCGGAUUAAUUCGAUGCAACGCGAAGAACCUUACCAAGGCUUGACAUACACGAGAACGGGCCAGAAAUGGUCAACUCUUUGGACACUCGUGAACAGGUGGUGCAUGGUUGUCGUCAGCUCGUGUCGUGAGAUGUUGGGUUAAGUCCCGCAACGAGCGCAACCCUCGUUCUAUGUUGCCAGCGCGUAAUGGCGGGAACUCAUAGGAGACUGCCGGGGUCAACUCGGAGGAAGGUGGGGAUGACGUCAAAUCAUCAUGCCCCUUAUGUCUUGGGCUUCACGCAUGCUACAAUGGCCGGUACAAAGGGCUGCAAUACCGUAAGGUGGAGCGAAUCCCAAAAAGCCGGUCUCAGUUCGGAUUGAGGUCUGCAACUCGACCUCAUGAAGUCGGAGUCGCUAGUAAUCGCAGAUCA